UACGGAGGGUGCGAGCGUUAUCCGGAAUUACUGGGUUUAAAGGGUGCGUAGGCGGAAAUUUAAGUCUGGGGUGAAAUAUUGUGGCUUAACCAUAAGAUUGCCUUGGAUACUGGGUUUCUUGAAUUGGGAUGAGGAUGGCGGAAUGUGACAUGUAGCGGUGAAAUGCAUAGAUAUGUCAUAGAACACCAAUUGCGAAGGCAGCUAUCUGGUCUCAUAUUGACGCUGAGGCACGAAAGCGUGGGGAGCGAACAGG
rnacentral:rRNA from 1 species